rnacentral:rRNA from 1 species
UACGUAGGGGGCAAGCGUUGUCCGGAAUCAUUGGGCGUAAAGAGCGCGUAGGCGGCCCAGUAAGUCCGCUCUGAAAGUCAGGGGCUCAACCCCUGAAUGCGGGUGGAUACUGUGAGGCUAGAGUACGGAAGAGGCGAGUGGAAUUCCUGGUGUAGCGGUGGAAUGCGCAGAUAUCAGGAGGAACACCAGUGGCGAAGGCGAAUCUCUGGACAGUUACUGACACUGAGGCACGAAGGCCAGGGGAGCAAACGGG